rnacentral:rRNA from 1 species
CACGUAGGGCGCAAGCGUUGUCCGGAAUUAUUGGGCGUAAAGAGCUCGUAGGCGGUUUGUCGCGUCGGCUGUGAAAACCUGGGGCUCAACCCCGGGCCUGCAGCCGAUACGGGCAAACUAGAAUUCGGUAGGGGAGACUGGAAUUCCUGGUGUAGCGGUGAAAUGCGCAGAUAUCAGGAGGAACACCGGUGGCGAAGGCGGGUCUCUGGGGCCGAUAUUGACGCUGAGGAGCGAAAGCGUGGGGAGCGAACAGG